CCUACGGGAGGCAGCAGUGGGUAAUAUUGGACAAUGGGCGAAAGCCUGAUCCAGCCAUGCCGCGUGUGUGAAGAAGGUCUUCGGAUUGUAAAGCACUUUAAGUUGGGAGGAAGGGCAGUAAAUUAAUACUUUGCUGUUUUGACGUUACCGACAGAAUAAGCACCGGCUAACUCUGUGCCAGCAGCCGCGGUAAUACAGAGGGUGCAAGCGUUAAUCGGAAUUACUGGGCGUAAAGCGCGCGUAGGCGGUUUGUUAAGUUGGAUGUGAAAGCCCCGGGCUCAACCUGGGAACUGCAUCCAAAACUGGCAAGCUAGAGUACAGUAGAGGGUGGUGGAAUUUCCUGUGUAGCGGUGAAAUGCGUAGAUAUAGGAAGGAACACCAGUGGCGAAGGCGACCACCUGGACUGAUACUGACGCUGAGGUGCGAAAGCGUGGGGAGCA
rnacentral:rRNA from 1 species